GUGAGGAAUAUUGGGCAAUGCCCGAAAGGGUGACCCAGCAACGCCGCGUGGAGGAUGAAGGUCGUAAGAUUGUAAACUCCUGUUAGAGGGGAAGAAUAACUAAGUUUGGAGCUUAGUAUGACUGUACCCUCAGAGAAAGCCCCGGCUAACUACGUGCCAGCAGCCGCGGUAAUACGUAGGGGGCAAGCGUUGUCCGGAUUUACUGGGUGUAAAGGGCGCGCAGGCGGAAUGGAAAGUCAGUGGUGAAAUCCUACAGCUUAACUGUAGAACUGCCCUUGAUACUUUCAUUCUUGAGUUCGGGAGAGAGAGACGGAAUUCCAGGUGUAGUGGUGAAAUACGUAGAUAUCUGGAAGAACACCAGUUGCGAAGGCGGUCUCUUGAUCCGAUACUGACGCUGAGGCGCGAAAGCGUGGGGAGCAAACA
rnacentral:rRNA from 1 species